UUGGCCUGUUUGGCAAAAUUAUUUAUUUAUUUGUUUGAAUGUUAAAUGUUAUUUAUUUACAUUUUGCAAUAAAAUCCGUUUAGUCAAACUCCGCUUGCACUUUUCUAUAAUAGCUCUGUUGUAUUCACCACGGUAACUCAACCUGUUUUGGACCGAUUGCGUUAAGACCCGGAGAGAGACUCUUGAGAGAGAUGAGCCGAUCUUGAACUACCUCAGUGAGAGAACACCACAGCUAGACCCGAGAACACAGUUGCUAAAAAGGGAUGGGGAGUUCGCUACUUCUGUCGCACGCAGUUACCCAGAGAGCAUCUCAAGGAAUGACGUAAUUCCGGUCAAACCGCUUGAGCGUCCGUUGCGACCUUCCCUAUUCUGAGGACUCCAGGGCUCGUUCACUUUGUCCCCAGCUAUCAACGAGAGUGGAAGUGCGCGUUUUGUACCGCGAGUUUUUGGCUUUUUGUACAAAAUUUUCCCGUUAGUUUGUCGUGUGUGCGCUAGUGCUAAAAUUUGUUUAAUUUGUGUGCGAACAGGAGAAAAGCAUUCGCCCGUUAGCAACAGCGCUAACCAUCCCGCAGCAGCACCAGCCCAGCAGCAGCGCGAACACACGAGCAGCAGAAGCAGCAGAGGAAAACGGAGACGAAGUUCCCCGCGCACCGCACUUCUCGUUGUCGCCGUACGUCACCAGGCGAAGCACGAGGACGAAGAGCGUGAGCGCACGCUAGGAGGCGAUCCGUAACCACAUCGCCCGGUGAAGAAGGGAGGGUCCCUGAACCACCACUGAAGGACAGCGGAGAUCGUUAGUCCCGGCCGGAGUCAACCCUAAGGCCGGAGCUUCCUGUCCGGUUGCGAACACCUGACAGCCGCGGAACCGGGUAACGUCUGAACCGGCCCGAGCCACCCCGUAAGGCCGAGUCCCGCGCAUUCCGGUCAGCUGUUCAUCAGCUGACGGCCACGUGUCGUCCCUGAGCUGAGCAACCAGCCACAAGCAGCAGAGAACAACAGCAGCAACAAGAUCAUCAUUCGGUGAGUCCGUUCUUUUUCAUCGGGUGAAGGGUGACGGCCACGAAAGGCGUCACGAACGUUUUUCCGUUCCGGCUGCGGCCGUAGAGCGGACGCCAUUUUGAUGGACGGCGUCCAUUUUGUUUAAAGCGCGUGUUGACCAUGCGCCCGGAGUGUGACGGCCUUUAUUGACACGCCCCACACGUCCACGAAAUAGCACGCUAAGUGCCUUUUGUCUGCCGCAGUCCGCUUGACUGCCGGUGUCGUCAGCGAUCAGCUGUUCCAGCUGACGAGCUGAAGAUUUGAGGUUCGGGAGCAAGCACAAAAGCACGGGGUAACAGAAGAACGAAGAGUAGACAGUAGGGAGAGCAAACGCACACAGUAGGGAGAUGUCUAGACGCUAGAACAGAACAAUGAAUGAAAUACACGAAAUGUUAGACUAGUCCAAUAAACGAGCACCUUUUCUUGAUUCCCCACCAACUAAAUUAUGAGUUAUUACUUUGGAGUGAAAUAAAGUCCCUGCAGUUAAAAUGAGCUCACGUGUUAGUUUUUUUGGUCGAUCCGGAGCGCUGCUUCCGUCACUUUAGGGUCCGUUCCCAGUCCCUUCCUCCCCAAUGCAAAAGUUCUGCGUAUUUCCCAUGCUUCGUGAAGUUCUCUGGUGGCGGGUGUCGGUACUACCCAUGAUGAUUCAUACGGGCACGGGGGGUCCUAUACUGGCGGAUUUCUGAGGAGCUUUUUCGGGAGGCUGAGCUUUCCGUACCGUUCUUGUGGGUCACUUUGGUACGCUGGCCGAUUCGAUCUUGCUUCUUCCCUGGGAAGAAGUUCAACCGAGCACCUCUUCGAGGGUCUCAAACCGGGCGAAUUUAACAUGGCGGGCAGUCUCCCUCACGGGAGUGGCGCAUAAGCUGCACCGUUUGCAACCGAUCGAAUCGCAACGGCUACAUCUUUAACGAAAAUGUAAUCUUAUUGACGCCCUUCAAAUUCUCACUGCAGUAAAUUGUUGAUAAGAAAUUGUAAUCAUGAGAUUCAAUCUACUCAU